UCCUGCGCAACUCUGACGUUGUUUUCUUACCAAAAAACGCGCCGCGGCGUGUGUGUUUGUACACUUUCCGAGUUUCAGCCCAAUGUGGCUUCACAAGAAUCUGCCUCACAUCCACACCAGGAGACAAACGCAGUGAAACGGCAGGUUCCCCGUAAAGCAGCGGCCGCUCUCCGUCAGAAUGAGCGACGACACGGACUCUCCCCCCGAGAGGGAAAUGAAGGAUUUUCAGUUUCGGCAGAUGAAGAAAGCAAGAGUUUUUGCACCUGCUGGGGAUUUGCCUGAAGAAAGAUCCACUCUGCUCACCCUCUCAAAUAAAUAUGGCUUAUGUUUCGUUGGGCUCAACAGAACAUUCAAAGUUUACCUGACACAUGAUAUACUGGCUGCUGAUAGAGUUGAUGGCAACGCCAAUGAAAUAGUCAAUGGAAUACCAGUGUUGGCAGAGGUGACGGUGGAACUGGCUGUGCACCACUUGGCUCUCAGUUGUGAUGAACUUACAUUGUCAGUAUGUGGUGUGUCUGAGGAGGGGGGUUUAUUCCUCACUUUCUACGAUGUCCGCACCUUCAUUAACAAGGCGAGACAACAGAAGUUACCUUUUGCAUCACUGCAGGCAGCCGUACCCUCUGGCACUGUGGUGCAGGACCUGAAGUGGAAUCCCGCUCAGGUGUCCACUUUGGCUGCCUGUCUGUCUGACGGCAGCAUGAUGAUUUUGGAUGUUACAGACAAUGUCAAAGUGCAGGCACAGCUACCACCAUCGAGUGGCAUCACAUGCCUUUGCUGGAGUCCAAAAGGAAAACAAGUCGCUGCAGGAAAGAUGAAUGCCACAGUCAGUCAGUACACACCAGCACUAGAGGAAAAGAAAGUGAUCCCAUGUCCACACUUCUACAGUUCUUCCCCUGAUGAACCUGUCAAAGCUCUGGAUGUGCUGUGGCUGAAAACCUUUGUGUUUGCAGUGGUAUACGCUGCUGCAGAUGGAUCCCUUGAGACCCCUCCCGAGCUCGUGUUGAUCUCCCUCCCUAAAAAGGAUGAGAAGGUGGAGACGAAGUAUCUGAACUUUAGUGACACGGUGUACGGCAGCUGCACUGAACGGCUGCACCACUACUUCCUGAGCCAUGUAGAGGACUGGGACCUUGUGUUUGCAGCAUCAGCAGCUUCCAUUGAGGUCAGCGUCAUAUCCAGACAAGAUGACAAGAUAUGGGAACUUUGGAUCCUGGAAGAUGCAAGUCGGGCUGAGCUUCCAGUGACUGCGACAAAUGAAGACACUCUACCGCUCGGCUUCGCCAUAGACUACACCAGCCAGCAAGAGAUCUACAUCUCUGAUGAGAAGACCUUACCUCCAGCGCCCACGAUGCUAAUUCUAUCCACAGAGGGUUUACUCUGCCCGUUUGCUCUGCUCAACCUCAAUCCUGGUGUGAAGCAGCUGGUCUCAGUCCCCAGCCUGAUCCCCCUGGAGGGGGAGAGACUGCCCAAGCUAGGUUCUUUGGCAGCCCAACCACCAAAAGCUGCUGCCUCCUUCCCAUCUGCCCCAGCCGUGUUCCAAAACCUCGGCCUAACAUCAGCAGCUGCUCCCACUCCUGCAGCUCCCGUUGCCUCUUCCGCCGCUGCUCGGUUCGGCUUUGCUACGACAGCUCCUGUGACAACGUCCUCAUCGGCCUUCUCUUUCUCUGUCCCAUCUACCAGCUCCCCCUCAGCCCCUACAGCUUUCUCCCUGGGGGUAUCCACGCCUUUUGGCUCAGGAUCCUCAGGCUUUUCCUUUGCCUCCAAACCUCCCUCUGAUACUCCCUCAGCACCUUCUGCAUUUUCCAUCAGCACGCCUUCCAUCAAACCGUCAGCGGUAGCAGCCCCAGCUCCAGCUCCAGCACCUCACAGCCUUGCUGCUGCCUCCCCACCCACAGUGAAAAUGAAUCUGAAUGAGAGGUUUUCAGCACUGGAGACCCCAGCACAAGCCCCACAGUCUUUCCCCUUCACUUCUCCAAUACCCAAACCAGUUGUCUCCAAUUCCAGUAGUUUGACCGCCCCUCCGCUUGCAGUUGCUAAGCCACCAGCUGUACUAACCCCAGUGCGUCCAGUUCAAACCAGCAUGCCGCCCACCAUUGUCCAGAAACCGACUCCUGCAGCCCAGAGCCGAAUCCAAGCUCCACAGACCCCUGUGGCACCUGUGAAGGCCGUGGAGAAGCAGCCACAGCAAAAGAAAGAGUCGGAUCACAUCAUGGCCGGUAUAUUUGAAGAGAUCGCACACUUCCAGCAGGAGUUGGAUGACCUUAAGGCAAGAAGCGCAAGAGCUGAUUUCAAGGUUGGCACCAACGAGGAGAUGAAGGAGUUGAGGAAGGAGUCAGAGGACCUACAUAUUUUCACGCUGGAGAUCAAGGAAACUACAGAGUCUCUCAAUGGCGAUAUUGGGACCCUGAAGACCACCUUAUUGGAAGGCUUUGCUGGGGCAGAAGAAGCCAGCACCCAGAGUGAGCUGAGCAAAGACAACAAUAACAGACAGCUGCUUUACAAAAAACCUCUGGACCCACGCAGUGAGGAACGACUCAAGGAGAUUCGCAGACUGUACCAGUACGUUACAUUUGCUGUGGAAGACGUCAACGAUGUGUUGAAUGUGGAAUGGGAGAAACAUCUGGAGAAGAAGAAAAAGCUGAAACACAUGUCCGUGCCAGGGCGUGAGGGUCUUUUCACAACACUGGCCAACAACCUGUACAUCAUCGAGCAGCAAAAGCACAGGUUGGACCAAUUGGUUAAAGACCUCAGCUCACUGAUGCUCUACAACAAGACGACUACAGCAACUGCAAACCAAAAUACUGCUGCAGCAACAACUGCUGGUUUGGAAAGUGAGCUCGAGAGUUUAAGGGAUGCACUCCUGAAAGCCAGACUGGACACUUCCCCUCCCAAAACCAAAUCCAGAUCUCCAGUCAAGAUCUCACCAGUGAAACAGUCCCAGCUACGCAACUUCCUGUCAAAGGGGCAGAUGCCUCCUGUCCGCUCAACUGCACCAGCCAACCUGUCUCGAUCCGCCUUCCUUUCACCUAAAUACUAUGAGGACUUGGAUGAUGUGAGCUCUACCUCCACCCUGUCCCAGUCCCUGGACCCCCACCCGGCUCACUUAGAGCUGGAGGAGGAGGAACUACAGCCAGAGCCCCUCCUUGUUAUACCCCAAGCACAUGCCACCCCUCGUCACCCCACUGUCGUGAGGACCCCCUCUAUCCAGCCUGGCUUUGGAGCAAUCCAGUCUACGCCUUUAACCAAACUUCACCAAGUACAGGCUAUGGGCUUUGGACUCAGCCCUAUCGCCAGCCCUGUUCCAAGCAAUAAGAUCAACCUCAGCGGGCCUGAUAGCACGGCUCUUGCCACAAAGACGGUCAAACAUGGAGCCCCACCAGCUGAGAGGACCGUACCUGUCACCAACCCCGCCCAGCAGGCCGCAGCCACUGCUGCUCUACGCAGGCAGAUGGCCAAUCAGAAGACGGCUGUUGUCGGUGCUUCCUUGACAGAGUCCACUUUGAAGAUAGUCCCUCAGGUCGUCAAUGUUCAAGAGCUCAAGGAGAAAGGGCCUCCUGUGCCAGCUUCCAAUAUCAUCAGCUCACCAGUUCCAGAUCCAGCAGCUCAAGUCUUUGCAACAGUUUCUUCCAACCAGGCUAAACGAAAUCCUAACCAAGGCAUCCAGACGAUGUCCGCUGAAAGUACAACCACCCCACAGACAGGCUUUGUGUUCGGUCAUCCAGCCAAACCUGAUGUUUCCGCGGCUCCUGCAAGCUCAGCGGAUCAAAACACCAGCAAAGGUUUCUCCUUUGCUUCAGGGUCCACAGGCUUCGGUUUUGCUUCAGCUACACAGGGAGCUGGAAUAUCACAAGCAAAGGAUGUGAGUAAAUUUUCCUUUGGUGGAAAUGGCAAAAUGGGAUUCGGCCAGGCUGGAGACGAGGGAUUCUCCUUCAUCCCAAAGUCCACCUCCCCUGCUCUACGCACGGCCUCCCCCACCCUGCCUCCGAACCCACCAGGAGAAGCAGCCAAACCCACCUCUACUGCAACAGCCCUCAAGGUAGAGCCACAGCCGCCUAAGACAGUUGGAGGUGAGACACUGGGCAGUUUCUCCGGACUUCGUGUGGGCCAAGGAGAAGAAGCCAAAGAUGCCUCCACCAAACCUUCUCCUGCCUCCGUUACCUUCGGGGACAGUGGACUUGGGAUGGGCAAGGGAGCAGCACAGUUUAGCUUUGGCACAGGUGGGCAAAAGUCUGCAGAAGAUUCCCCAGGAUCAGACUUGGCGAAGGGAGCAGCGUCAGGCAGUUUGUUUAAGCCUCCUGAAUCAACUAGUAAGCCAGCCUUCUCUGUUCCCCAGUCAGGCUCAGCUACCACAGGUUUACCUACGUCUUUCAGUAGUCUCCUUGCAGAAUCUUCAGACUCCUCAGAGGAACCAAAAGCUCCCACACAACCUUCAGAAGCCACCCCACCCCCUGAAAAAGAAGCAGCUUCUGAACCCAUUGUAGAGAGAGCCAGUGCCCCAGAAGUACCCGACUCUGCAGGGGAGGCUGCUACCAUAGACACCACACCAGCACCUGCAGCACUAACACCCCCACCUUCUUUGGCCACAACUGCCCCGACCCCAGAACCUCCCCCCUCCAUCGCUGCCCCAGCUGAAGCCGCCCCUCCACCACCAUACAGUGCUGUUCACACAAUCGAAGCACCCGCAGACACCACCACCACUGCUCCUGUGUCCACUUCACCAGCUGCCACCUUCUCUGUUGUGCCUGUCUCCCAGGUUGCACCAGCAGCAUUUCAGGUUCCCUCUUCUGACAAGCCUGGCUCCAUUUUUACUCAGCCUGCUCCUGUAACAACAGACAGCCACACCAUUGGAAUCACAACAGUAAUCAACACAGUUGCCAAUGCAGCCACCACUACCACCCAUACAGUUGUGAGCACUGCAACAACUACUGCUGCCACUGUAUUUGGGCAACCUGUUGCACCUCCAGUUUCCUCAGCCCCCUCGGCUCCAGCCAUUACAGGAUUUGGUUCAUCUGGGUUUGGUGCAUCACCUGGAGCUAAUUUUGGCAACACUGUAUUUGGCCAGGUGAGUGGCUUUGGCCAGCCUGCCAGUAACACUGGAACAGCUAGUGACUUUUCUUUUGGCCAGACAGUCUUUGGAGUAAGCUCUACCAGUGCAACCACUGGAGGAGGAGGAGGAGGAAGUCUUUUUGGUGCUUCUACUACAAGUACCUUCCCGUUUGGCCAAGGCAGUGCCAACACAGCCAGCAGCACCGGCUCUGGACCGUUUGGGCAGAGCACAGCCCCAGCAUUUGGCCAGAGCUCGGGAUUUGGGCAAGGGUCUGUGUUUGGUAGUAACACCACCACGUCAUCGUCGACAGGAUUCAGCUUUGGACAGCCCUCAGGUUUCGGUUGCUCCUCUGCCGCUCCCUCGUUUGGCCAGCCACCGAGCACUGGCAGUGUGUUUGGACAGCAGCAGCAGCAAUCAUCUAGUGGGAGUGUGUUUGGUUCAGGUUCAGCCAACCCUGCAGGCUCAUCAGCUGGUGGAGGAUUCUUCAGUGGCCUGGGAGGCAAACCCACCGAGGAGGCUGCCAACAAGAACCCAUUUGGCGCCCCUCCCGCCACCGGAGGAUUUGGCCAGCCUGCUCAGACAGGUGCCAACACUCUGUUUGGGAGUAGUGGUGCCAAGACCUUUGGUUUUGGACAGACCUCCUUUGGUGAGCAGAAACCCAGUGGGACCUUCAGCACUGGAGGAGGGAGUGUUGCAUCCCAGGGUUUUGGCUCCUUCGCUUCUCCGACAAAACCAGGUGGAUUUGGCAGCGCUCCAGUGUUUGGGAGUUCUCCUUCCUUCGGUAGUUCUCCAGCAUUUGGAGGUGCGGCGUCAUUCGGCUCCAACCCUUCAUUCAACAACAACAUGGUUCCCUCCGCUGGUAAAGUGUUUGGAGAGGGAACUGCGGCCUCCAGCAUGGGAGGAUUUGGGUUUGCCUCACCUCCCCCCGCCCCGUCCUUUGGCGCUCUAGCUAAUCAGAACCCUCCGUCAUUCGGGAACUUGGCCCAGCAGGGCUCUGGGUUUGGAGCUCAGCCCAGCAGCUUCUCAGGGUUUGGACAGCAGCCACAGACAGGAGAACAAGAAAUGAUGUGAGAAAUGUCAAACAACAUAAAAUAGUCAGACAAGCAAUGGAUUCUCUGGAAACACCUUUGGCUCUUCAAACCAGUCGAACGAACCCAACAUGCCUGGUGAGGAAAUCUCCCGAAGUGACACAUAUAGAGAUGAAAAGUAGAAGAUGUGCUAAAAAAGGAAAUGUGACUUGUGUCUACCAGGCAGCAACGGAAAUCUUUGUUGGAUUCAGUUUGGAUAAACAACUCAGACCCGUAAAGUGGGCUGCCAAUAAAAAGCAGUCCAAUGUGGAUGUUUAGGGGCUGAUACCGAUAUUGGGGAGUAAAAAAUGUUCUAUACCAAUGUAUUAGCCGACAUUUAGGUAAAAAAGUAAUUGUAAUGAUUCCUAAGAUGUCGUUUUUAAACCCUUAUGACAAAUGUAUGAAGUUUUACAGUUUAACCAUAAACUAUAUCAUUAACAACUGUAAAUAAAAAUAGAACUUGAAUUAAUGAGUAAUUCUUAAACUAAUAAAUGCACAUCUUUUCUGCAUUGUUUAUAAUUGAAAUCAACAGUUUACAUAUCAGCAAACAUAAAAGCCAGUAUUGAUAUGUCUGUGAAAAGCUCAUAUCGAGUGAUAUUUAUAGCCGACUAAUAAAUCUGUCUGGAGCUAAUGGAAAUAUUGCAUUUAUAAAUUGGAAAACAGUAUAUUGUCAAUAAUAGUUUUCCUAAUGGGAAACAAGACCUUAAUCUGGUAAUAGUGUGACAAAUAACUGUACCUCCAUUAAGGUGAAUCUGCAAAUUUUAGCUAAAAAGAAAAGGAGAGACGACAGGUGACAUUUGUACAUUUUAUUCAUUCUUGAAAAAAGACUUUUUAAUAUAUUUUUUCAGGGGUUGUUCACCCCAAUGUUGUGCAUUUUCACAGUUUUUAAAUAUUUGCCAGAACUGACCCAUUUUCAAGUAUUGGUGUAAAAAGUCAAAGCUGAACAAACAAACACACACUGCUUGAACUAUUUCAGUGCUGUUACUUCCAGAAAGCAAACCAAACUAAAUGAAAAAACAAACAUAUUUGCUCGUAGUAUCCUAUGUACCAUCUCUCAGGUUGUAUUUCAAACACUGAAUUAUGUUGUUUAUUUUCCUAAAUAAGGAGAAUAGUGAGAUGAACUGACCUGUGGAACAUCCAUUUUUUUCCUUAAUGGGAUUGAACCAAUAAUAAAAACCAGGAAAUGAA